rnacentral:rRNA from 1 species
UACGGGGGGGGCAAGCGUUGUUCGGAAUUACUGGGCGUAAAGGGCUCGUAGGCGGCCAACUAAGUCAGACGUGAAAUCCCUCGGCUUAACCGGGGAACUGCGUCUGAUACUGGAUGGCUUGAGUUUGGGAGAGGGAUGCGGAAUUCCAGGUGUAGCGGUGAAAUGCGUAGAGAUCGGGUGGAACACCAGCGGCGAAGGCGAGUCCCUGGACAGAUCCUGACGCUGAGGCACGAAGGUCAGGGGAGCAAACGGG